AGAGUUUGAUCCUGGCUCAGGACGAACGCUGGCGGCGUGCCUAACACAUGCAAGUCGAACGGAGCACUUCGGUGCUUAGUGGCGAACGGGUGAGUAACGCGUGAGAAACCUGCCUCUCAGUGGGGGACAACAGUUGGAAACGACUGCUAAUACCGCAUAAUGUAUUCGGAAGGCAUCUUCUGGAUACCAAAGCUUUAUGUGCUGAGAGAUGGUCUCGCGUCUGAUUAGCUAGAUGGCGGGGUAACGGCCCACCAUGGCGACGAUCAGUAGCCGGUCUGAGAGGAUGAACGGCCACAUUGGGACUGAGAUACGGCCCAGACUCCUACGGGAGGCAGCAGUCGGGAAUAUUGCGCAAUGGAGGAAACUCUGACGCAGUGACGCCGCGUAUAGGAAGAAGGUUUUCGGAUUGUAAACUAUUGUCAUUAGGGAAGAUAAAAGACUGUACCUAAAGAGGAAGCACCGGCUAACUAUGUGCCAGCAGCCGCGGUAAUACAUAGGGUGCAAGCGUUAUCCGGAUUUAUUGGGUGUAAAGGGUGCGUAGACGGAGAAGCAAGUUAGUUGUGAAAUCCCUCGGCUUAACUGAGGAACUGCAACUAAAACUACUUCCCUUGAGUGUCGGAGAGGAAAGUGGAAUUCCUAGUGUAGCGGUGAAAUGCGUAGAUAUUAGGAGGAACACCAGUGGCGAAGGCGACUUUCUGGACGAUAACUGACGUUGAGGCACGAAAGUGUGGGGAGCAAACAGGAUUAGAUACCCUGGUAGUCCACACUGUAAACGAUGGAUACUAGGUGUAGGAUGUAUUAAGCAUUCUGUGCCGCCGCUAACGCAUUAAGUAUCCCACCUGGGGAGUACGACCGCAAGGUUGAAACUCAAAGGAAUUGACGGGGGCCCGCACAAGCAGUGGAUUAUGUGGUUUAAUUCGACGCAACGCGAAGAACCUUACCAGGACUUGACAUCCAACUAACGAAGUAGAGAUACAUUAGGUGCCCUUCGGGGAAAGUUGAGACAGGUGGUGCAUGGUUGUCGUCAGCUCGUGUCGUGAGAUGUUGGGUUAAGUCCCGCAACGAGCGCAACCCCUAUUGUUAGUUGCUACGCGAGAGCACUCUAGCGAGACUGCCGUUGACAAAACGGAGGAAGGCGGGGACGACGUCAAAUCAUCAUGCCCCUUAUGUCCUGGGCUACACACGUAAUACAAUGGCGAUCAACAGAGGGAGGCAAAGCCGCGAGGCCGAGCAAAUCCCUAAAAGUCGUCUCAGUUCGGAUUGCAGGCUGCAACUCGCCUGCAUGAAGCUGGAAUUGCUAGUAAUCGCGGAUCAGCAUGCCGCGGUGAAUACGUUCCCGGGCCUUGUACUCACCGCCCGUCA
rnacentral:rRNA from 1 species